GAAGGGUGCAAGCGUUACUCGGAAUUACUGGGCGUAAAGCGUGCGUAGGUGGUGAGUUAAGUCUGUCGUGAAAGCCCCGGGCUCAACCUGGGAAUGGCGAUGGAUACUGGCUCGCUAGAGUGCGGUAGAGGAGAGUGGAAUUCCCGGUGUAGCAGUGAAAUGCGUAGAGAUCGGGAGGAACAUCAGUUGCGAAGGCGGCUCACUGGACCAGCACUGACACUGAGGCACGAAAGCGUGGGGAGCAAACAGGAUUAGAUACCCUGGUAGUCCACGCCCUAAACGAUGCGAACUGGACGUUGGGAGCAAUCAGGCUCUCAGUGUCGAAGCUAACGCGUUAAGUUCGCCGCCUGGGGAGUACGGUCGCAAGACUG
rnacentral:rRNA from 1 species